AACAAACGCUGGCGGCGUGCCUAACACAUGCAAGUCGUACGAGAAAGUCGGCUUCGGCCGAUGAGUACAGUGGCGCACGGGUGAGUAGCGCGUGGGUAAUCUGCCCCUCGGUCAGGAAUAACCCGCCGAAAGGCGGGCUAAUACCCGAUAACACUGACGCUCUGCGGAGUGUCUUUCAAAGAAGGCCUCUGUUUACAAGCUUUCGCCGGAGGAUGAGCCCGCGGACCAUUAGCUAGUUGGCAGGGUAAAGGCCUACCAACGCAACGAUAGUUAGCUGGUCUGAGAGGAUGGCCAGCCACACUGGAACUGAGACACGGGCCAGACUCCUACGGGAGGCAGGAGUGAGGAAUCUUGCGCAAUGGGGGAAACCCUGACGCAGCAACGCCGCGUGAGUGAGGAAGGCUUUCGGGUCGUAAAGCUCUGUCAGAUGGGAAGAAAUGGAUGGAAGCCAAUACCUUUCAUUCUUGACGGUACCAUCAGAGGAAGCACCGGCUAACUCCGUGCCAGCAGCCGCGGUAACAC
rnacentral:rRNA from 1 species